UUUUCUGUGGUUUAGUUGGUUAAAACACCAGAAUAGCGAAACGGAGUCGUGGGUACGAGUCCCACCAAAACAA
rnacentral:tRNA from 1 species